rnacentral:rRNA from 1 species
GACAGAGGUGCCAAGCGUUAGGCGGAAUCACUGGGCUUAAAGCGUGUGUAGGCGGGUCGUUAGUACCUUGUGAAAUCCCACGGCUCAACCGUGGAACGGCUGGGUAUACUGGUGAUCUUGAGCCACCUAGGGGCAGUCGGAACAAGUGGUGGAGCGGUGAAAUGCGUAGAUAUCACUUGGAACGCCAAUGGUGAAAACAGACUGCUGGGGGUGUGCUGACGCUGAGACACGAAAGCCAGGGGAGCAAACGGG